rnacentral:lncRNA from 1 species
UGCAGGCGGGGUUGUGCCGAUGUAUUGAAACUUGAUGUACAAUGUUAAAUAUUGAAUAUCUAUCAUGGAUGUAAUAAGUAUUCGUCUUAUUUUUGUAAUAAGUUUUGUGAACGGAUGCUGUUAUCUUCAUGGAUGCGUGAUUUUCUCAUAUAUAUUGUUGUUAUCUAUUGCUGUGCUACGAUAUAUUGCUAUUACAGAAAUGUUCUAAUAUAAAAAAAAUAUUUUAAAAAAACCGGAAAGAACAGUGGCGGUUCAUGUUCACCGCCACUGGUACUCUACCGGUGGCGGUGACAGAGAACCACCACUGGUGCUACGAAAGCAUACC